AUACGGAGGGUGCGAGCGUUAAUCGGAAUCACUGGGCGUAAAGCGCGCGCAGGCGGCUAUUUAAGUUGGAUGUGAAAGCCUACGGCUCAACCGUAGAACUGCAUCCAAAACUAUUUAGCUAGAGUGUGGGAGAGGAAGAUGGAAUUAGUUGUGUAGGGAUAAAAUCCGUAGAGAUAACUAGGAAUACCAAAAGCGAAGGCAAUCUUCUGGAACACUACUGACGCUGAGGCGCGAAAGCGUGGGGAGCAAACAGGAUUAGAAACCCCAUAGUCC
rnacentral:rRNA from 1 species